rnacentral:rRNA from 1 species
CCUACGGGCUGCAGCAGUGGGGAAUAUUGGACAAUGGGCGAAAGCCUGAUCCAGCCAUGCCGCGUGUGUGAAGAAGGCCUUCGGGUUGUAAAGCACUUUCAGUGGGGAAGAAAGCCUUGGGGCUAAUACCCUCGAGGAAGGACAUCACCCACAGAAGAAGCACCGGCUAACUCCGUGCCAGCAGCCGCGGUAAUACGGAGGGUGCGAGCGUUAAUCGGAAUUACUGGGCGUAAAGCGCGCGUAGGCGGUCUGAUAAGCCGGUUGUGAAAGCCCCGGGCUCAACCUGGGAACGGCAUCCGGAACUGUCAGGCUAGAGUGCAGGAGAGGAAGGUAGAAUUCCCGGUGUAGCGGUGAAAUGCGUAGAGAUCGGGAGGAAUACCAGUGGCGAAGGCGGCCUUCUGGACUGACACUGACGCUGAGGUGCGAAAGCGUGGGUAGCAAACAGGAUUAGAUACCCGGGUAGUC